AUUGAACGCUGGCGGCAUGCCUUACACAUGCAAGUCGAACGGCAGCACGGGGGCAACCCUGGUGGCGAGUGGCGAACGGGUGAGUAAUGCAUCGGAACGUGCCCAGUAGUGGGGGACAACCAGUCGAAAGAUUGGCUAAUACCGCAUACGACCUAUGGGUGAGAGCGGGGGACCGUAAGGCCUCGCGCUAUUGGAGCGGCCGAUGUCUGAUUAGCUAGUUGGUGAGGUAAAGGCUCACCAAGGCGACGAUCAGUAGCUGGUCUGAGAGGACGACCAGCCACACUGGGACUGAGACACGGCCCAGACUCCUACGGGAGGCAGCAGUGGGGAAUUUUGGACAAUGGGCGCAAGCCUGAUCCAGCCAUGCCGCGUGCGGGAAGAAGGCCUUCGGGUUGUAAACCGCUUUUGGCAGGAACGAAACGGCGACUCUUAAUACGGGUCGUUAAUGACGGUACCUGCAGAAUAAGCACCGGCUAACUACGUGCCAGCAGCCGCAGUAACAC
rnacentral:rRNA from 1 species